CGGAUCGCGGCGAGAAAGACCCGCAAGGGUUGCCAGAGGACGAGCCUGCGGCCCAUCAGCUAGUUGGCGAGGUAACGGCUCACCAAGGCGAAGACGGGUAGCUGGUCUGAGAGGAUGAUCAGCCACACUGGAACUGAGACACGGUCCAGACUCCUACGGGAGGCAGCAGUGGGGAAUAUUGCGCAAUGGGCGAAAGCCUGACGCAGCCACGCCGCGUGAGCGAUGAAGGCCUCGGUCGUAAGCUCUGUGGGAGGAGAAGAAUAAAGACCUGUGAAGAGCAGGCCUUGACGGUAUCUCCUUAGCAAGCACCGGCUAACUCCGUG
rnacentral:rRNA from 1 species